rnacentral:lncRNA from 1 species
ACCUCCCGGGUCCUGGGCUGCCAGCUCCAUCUUCUGCGCACCAGGAGUGAGGAGCAUCAACCACACCGGGCCCCAGGAGGUGGCUGCCUGGCCACCAUCACCCUCCCACUGAGGGGCCCAGGGGAGAGAAGACUGUAACUGCUCUGGAAGCUUCCGGCCUUUCUUCGGCAACGAAUCUGGGGUGUGGCUGGACCUGGACCCUUUCAUGCCUGGGAUCUUAACAUUCACCAUCUGGGUGGAUUCUCCUUCCUGGUCUCUCUGUGGAUGGAUCUUGUCAGUCUCCUGGAGGAAGGGAAGAUGAUGCUCCACUUUCCCCGGGAUGCUGGGACACAGAUCCACAAACCGGGCCACUUAAAGUGACAGACAUUUUUCCUCUCCCAGUUCUGGAAGCAGAGGGGAGAAAUCAAGGUGUCGGCAGGGCUGGUUCCCACUGAGGCUCUGAGGGAGAACCUAUCCCAGGCCCCUCUCCCGGAUCUGGGGCUCCCGGGGAUCCUUGGCGUCCUUCGCAUGGCUCCAAUCUGCUGCUGCUUCACCUGGAUUUGCCCGUGUGUCUCUGGGUCUUCAUUCCUGUUUCUUGCCAGGACGCUCUCAUUGGAUUUAGGGCCCACCCUAACCCAGGAUGACCUCAUCUCCAUCCUUACCUUAAUCACACCUGCAAAGACCCUAUUUCCAACAAGGCUGCAUUCUCAGGUUCUGGGAGGACAUGAAUUCACAGGUUCACGAUUCAGCCCAGUACAGGAUGACCUGGAGUAGAGCCAGGAUCCCGGAAGUCCCCGGGGGCUGAUGGGGCCCAGCAGGGAAGCAGGGAUGGGCAGGGUCUCCAGGGCACAGAGGAGGGGUGUUGUGCACCUGCCCCCUUCCUGGGCUCCCCUAGUGCAGCUCUUUCUGGGGCCUUCUACCCUCUCCAUUUACCCACUCGCCCCUGCAGAUGGGGGGCGCAUGAUGGCACCUUUUGAUUUAACCAAGUUAUUAUGGGGGAACCUCAGCCCAUCAGGGCUGGUGCCCAGGCACCCUAGGUGAAGCCCUCAGCUCGGCCGCCACCCUGGCCUUGGCAGGAUCCAGGCUCUGAGGUCCUCUUCUGGAGGCUGGGUCCUCUCUCAUUUCACUCCACGUCAUUAUUAAGAGAUGAUGCAGGUCUUGGAGCAAGAACCCUUUGGCUCUGGAAAAAUUAUGUGUGACACUUUACAUAUGGAUCAGAGUGUCUGUGAGGGGCCGGGCAGGCACUGGGCUGGUCUCAGGACCUGGAGGUGAAUGAGAAGAGGCUGCUGUACAGAAGAAGCAUGUGGGCACCCAGGAGAAGGGAUGGAAAGAAACCCAGGCUGCACAACAGCGGGGGUGCAGGGUGGACGCCUUUCCCGGCAGUUCGUCUCAGCACCACAGCCUGGGUGCCUGCAUCGCCUGCACCAUGCAUACAGAAGCUAACACCAGGCUGUAUCAAUUCCGGGGCCCAAGAGAGAAACAGGAUGUCCCAUGUGACUUCUGCUACUUUGGAGUGGGGUCUUCCAGGAAUCUUUGUGAUAUGGCUUGGUUAUGUCCCCACCCAAAUCUCAUCUUGAAUUGUAAUUCUCACAAUUCCCACGUGUCAUGGGAGGAUCCCAGUGGGAGGUGAUUGAAUUAAGGAGAGGGGGAGUCUUUCCUGCACUGUUCUCGUGAUAGUGAAUGAGUCUUGCAAGAACCGAUGGUUUUACAAAUGGGAGUUUCCCUGCACACGCUCUUUUUGCCUGCUGCCAUCCACAUAAGAUGUGACUUGCUCCUCCUUGCCUUCCAUCACGAUUGUGAGGCCUCCCUAGCCAUGUGGAACUGUAGGUCCAAUAAACCUUUUUCUUUUGUAAA